GACUUUUGAUUUUAGAUGUUACUUAUUAUUAUUUAUUAUAUUUAGAUAUAUUUUUAUAUUUAUUAUACUUAGAUGUUACUUAUUAUGGAUAAUUUUAUAUUUAUUUUUCUGUUUCGUGAUUGUCGUGAACGACGGAUGAUACCACCUGCCACACCACGAACUUUGAUAUGCAGGUAACAUCUGUGAUACGUGGAAUGAAUAUCAAACUACAGGCGCUCGCCGCAGUGUGCCGCUACGUGUUUAGGUGAAAAUGGUCUAUUUCUGUAUGAGGAAUAACGAGAGUAUCUUAUCUAUGAUAACAUCGCACGAUAACAAAUUUAUCAAAUAAUUUAGAAGUAAGCGUUCGUGUUUAAAUUGUUUGUUUGAUCAAUUAAACAUCGUAAUAGUAUCUAUAAAGCUUAUUACUCAUACUGAUAAUUUAAUCGAAGAAAUUCCGUUUUUACAUUAUUUAUCAGAAGAUCUAUUUUAUCGUCUUUAAGGUAUUAUCACACGAAUAUAAUAUUUAUAAAAAAAGGACAUCUUUGGUUGUCCCUUUGUAAAAAUGUUUUCGGAAAUCGAAAAUAAAGAACGUAACUCGUUUCUUUAAAUAAACCAACGAUACCCGGACACGGACAUUAGCUGCAUAAAAAAGUACGUUGAAUCUAACGCAUUUUAUUCUGACGCAAACGGGACACGCUCUAAAAUAAAAAUAAAAUGUUAAGGAGAUUUAAUGGCGACAAACUUUUUUUUUUUAGUGUAGCCCACCCGCACGCGUUUUAUCCCAGUUACAUCUACGUGCAUCUGGCAAGUGACCAAUGCCGUUAAAAAAACGGAAGGCUUUCAGCGCGUCCUUUGUAGGUUAUUCUCACGUUUCGUACUUGAAAAAAUAAUUUUGUUAAAGAAUAGUGACGUUUUACUGUUGUACGAGAGCUUGCACACCGUUUGUCCGCGUUCUAAUUGCUACAGAUAAUUAUCUCAAACAAUUUCACUCGGACGUUUAUACAACGCGAACAGAGUAUUCUCAUUUCAUAGCACUUUAAGCUCAAGUGGUGAGAUCUUUCCUUGGUUAACGAUCUUGCAAAGUUAUGGAGGAAUUUAACCAGCGUCUCCAGGACCAUAGUGGCUUGUUUUCAGUGUAAAAAGAACACCGUAAAGCGAACAGGCAAUGUAGGACGUGAAAUUGAUGAACAGGUUUUCGUGGUAAAUCUACAAAGGAGUUCUCUACGUGGCGAACAUUUGCGAAGUUCCUGUGUAUUCGAUAUUCUGGUCGGUUAGCGUUUAGAUAUAAACAGCUAACGUGAUGGCUAGUAUAAGUAAGGUCGUUUCGCCGCAAACUUUUGCGAACGCGAUAUACGUAUCCGCGUUCUUCAAAUACAAAUACACAGUUGUGAAUGCGGUUAAUAAAGCGGAUGACAUAAUGUUGAAGAAUUUAUUGCGCAAAUUUAUUGUGUAAUGACAUAAAUCUUCUGCGUUGAAAGUAAAGAUUCAGAUCUCUUCACCUGUGACACUGUGCUAUUUGCGUGUGAUAUCAAAGGCCAAAAAUGAAAAAUAAAAUAAAAUCGUGUAGGGACAAAGGAUUAAAGUAAAUUCUUUUUAUAGUUUACACGAAAAAGUAAAUUCUUAAUAUUACAGGUAUGUUAUUACUUUCAUAUCUCUUUUUAAUAAAGUUCUUUUCCGCGGAAUAUGUAUGAAUUAUUUUGUUAAUUAAAACUGAACGAAGAUUACUUGGAAUAGGAGAAAAAGAAAGAUUAUGGUCACUUGGAAACGAUUUAAAAUAAGAGUUUUUAUUUUGUAUUGAUACUAUAUGUAUCACUCCAAAGUAACUUUUUAUUCUAAUUAAUCGUUUAAACAAAUGACAAUUUUUAAGUUUUAAUUAAUUUUAAUUAAGUUUUUUAAUUAAGUUUUAACGUUUGACACAACUGUUUCGUGUCUUUAUGAAAUUUCUGAUAUCUGAAAUGAAAACAGAGCAGCAUAUCUUAAGAUUGAUAGUUUCGACAAGUAAAGAAUAAAGUAAACAGGUAAAGAUAAGCACUAAUUGAAUCUACAAAAA